CUUGUCGCAUAUCCAGGGAGAUCCCAUUUUAAGAGGAUCUCGCGGUAACAGGUGUCCGAAACAAUCAUCGGAUGCACAAAAGAGCGCUCCUAAUCUAGUUCCGAAUUCCUAGCAUUAUGAUCGGUGCAUCUGUUGCACUCGCAGGAGAAGUGUUUGGUGAGGCUCAAGAAAGGUCUUCGCAGCGUCGUAUCCCAAAAUAAACUGGUAUAGGACAUGGUGAGCUCCUCUCCAGCAGAAAUUGGAAGCGCAGCGUUAACGUACAGCCUCUGUUCAUCGUCGAAGUGGUGUCUCGUAUUUGAGAUAUGUCAAGAAAUAUGUAUCCGUUGGCUAAGUCCCACCCCAUCCCUUGGACUCAAUGGAAAUUUGGGGAAAGUGAAAGGAAGCAGGGAAGAAAUGGAAAGAUACCAAACCACUUAAUGUAAAUGAUCAAGAAUUGGACGGUGAAAG